CUACCGACGAGCAGGCGGAGUGGGGCAGACGGAGGAUCCAGGCGUUAUCCGGAUGUACUGGGGGUAAAGCGUUGCGUAGGGUGCAUAGUAAGCAGACAGUGAGAGCGGACGGCUCAACCGGAUACACAUUGUCUGAACCGCUAAGCUAGAGGACGAGAGAGGUAGAUGGAAUUCCCAGUGUAGGAGUGAAAUCCGUAGAUAUUGGGAGGAACACCGAUGGCGUAGGCAGUCUACUGGCUCGUUUCUGACACUCAGGCACGAAAGCGUGGGGAGCAAACGGGAUUAGAUACCCCAGUAGUC
rnacentral:rRNA from 1 species